rnacentral:rRNA from 1 species
GACGAACGCUGGCGGCGUGCUUAACACAUGCAAGUCGAACGGAAAGGCCCUGCUUUUGUGGGGUGCUCGAGUGGCGAACGGGUGAGUAACACGUGAGUAACCUGCCCUUGACUUUGGGAUAACUUCAGGAAACUGGGGCUAAUACCGGAUAGGAGCUCCUGCUGCAUGGUGGGGGUUGGAAAGUUUCGGCGGUUGGGGAUGGACUCGCGGCUUAUCAGCUUGUUGGUGGGGUAGUGGCUUACCAAGGCUUUGACGGGUAGCCGGCCUGAGAGGGGGACCGGCCACAUUGGGACUAAGAGACGGACCAGACUGCUACGGGAGGCAGCAGGGGGGAAUAUUGCAGAAUGGGCGGAAGCCUGAGGCAGCAGCGCCGCGUGCGGGAUGACGGCCUUCGGGUGGUAAACCGCUUUCGCCUGUGACGAAGCGGGAGUGACGGUAAUGGGUAAAGAAGCACCGGCUAACUACGUG